ACCUUGAGAGAAACAAGAAACUGAAAGUACUAAACUACUUUGCUUAUUUAAAAAAAUCUUAAGCUUGCGUUUUAGGUCUAGGACUAGGCGGCCCGCAUCUCAGCCCCAAGCCACCAGGCAAGGUGGGCUCUCUAAAGGCUCGGGGGCGAAGCCUGAGGCCAGGAGUGGACACCUGUCUGAGGCGCCAGCACCUCCCAGGGACUCGAAGCAUUGGCUCGUCUCGGCCUCUGCUCUUCCGCUGUGCCCGGCUAGCCCCGGUACUCUAGGGCUCGGCUGACGCUUGUCUCAGGCUCGGCUCUCUUCGGCUGAGCUCGGCCAGUUCUCGGCUCUCUUCGGCUUCCUUCGAACGACUCUCGUCUCGGCUUCCUCCAGCCGGCUCUCGUCCUCGGGCUCGGCUCUCUUCGGCUAAACUCGGCCCGCUCUCCCCUUUAGGGCUCGGCUCUUUUCGGCUGAGCUCGGCCGCGGCCCCGGAAGGGCGCCAGUGGAGCCGGGCCUACCGGCUCGCCCGACGGCCAUGGCACCACUACUGGAGUAUGAGCGGCAGCUAGUGCUGGAGCUGCUCGGCACGGACCGGCUGGCCGUGUGCGCCCGCGUGCUCGGCGCGGACCGACUCCUCUACCACUUCCUCCGGCUGCACUGCCGCCCAGCAUGCCUGGUGCUGGUGCUCAACACUCAGCCGGCCGAGGAGCUGCGGCGCCGUCACCUCGGCUGCGUCGGGGCCUCCUGAGCGGACGCGAGGCCUCUGAGUGCGAGGCCGGGCCUGACGCGGGCGGGAGGGCGUUGAAUGGGGGUCCGUGAGGCAGAUGCAGGUCCCUGACAGGGCGCGUGGACACAGAUGGGGUAGGAGGGUCCCGGGGAGGGUGCAGGUCCCUGACGCUGAGAGGGGCGGAGGAGACCUGGGAGGGUCAUGGGAGUCAUUUGAGGAGGGAAGCCGGGAGAAAGGGAGGUCCCUGAAAGGGAUGGGGUUGUCUGCAGGUGGGUGUGGGUAGGAAUAGCGAGGGAAUCCCAGAGCCGGGUAUUCAGGGCUCGCUGGGGUCAGAGGGAUAGGGUCUGUGAAACGGCACGGUGAUGGGGAUGGAGGAACCUCUGGGGGUAAUGGGGACGUGUGAAAGGAGCCGCAGAGGCUGGGGCGAGCCCUCCAGGUACGAGGAGGGACUGAGGAGGUCACCCGGGCUGUGGGAAGAGGGGCACGGGGUCAGAAUCGAAGGAAGCUGAAAGCUGAGGAUUUUGGGGUGGGAUACCUGGGGGUAAGGAGGAUGGAGCCGCUGAGAAGGACGGAAAGGGGAUACACUGGCGUUAUGAAAUCCCCUCUAGGGUGGACGGAGACAGAUAACUAAUAGACUAAACCCUGCCUGGGAAAAGGAUUCCUUAUUACCUCCUCACACAGUACUAGCUUGCCUGCAAAACCUGGCUUGGGUGGGAAGUAUUUCUAGGUAGCAGAAGUCUUUGAACCCAGGGUUUAAAAAAAGUCUUUUUUGUUGUUAAAAUGCUAGUAAAAUCUCAAGGGCAAUGAUUUCCUUAAUGCAUACCCAAAAACAAAGCUCUGGUUAAAUGCAGAGUGGUUGGUUGAUCACCGUGAAAGAGGAACUUCAUUUGUGAAUUAUCUCUGAGAAAGGGCAGUCUAUCAUUUUAAAUGCAAAUGAUGCCCCCUAAAAAAGCUGUCCUGUUUUAAAACUACUAAUCAAGUUUGAUUUGAUUUCGGAAUAUUUUAUCAAUCAGCUGAAGAUAGAAGGAACACCUCCCACGCCAUGUAACAAAUGAAAUCCCAAGUAACAGUCGCUAUGAGGGUUACACACAAGGUGGUGUGAUAUUUGCAACUAGUCGAAUAAUCGUGGUUGGUUUCUUGACUGAUAGAAUUCCUUCAGAUUUAAUUACUGGCAUCUUGGUGUACAGAGCUCACAGAAUCAUCAAGUCCUGUCAAGAAGCAUUCAUCUUGUGCCUGUUCUGCCAGAAAAAUGAAACGUGGCUUCAUUAAAGCUUUCACAGACAAUGCUGUCGCCUUUGACACUGGUUUUUGUCAUGUGGAAAGAAUGAUGAGAAAUCUCUUCGUAAGGAAGUUGUAUCUGUGGCCAAGCUAAACAGCAUUAUGUGACAGACAUCUGUGAGCACAUCUGCUGUAAUUCAGUUUUGCACUUCAGUGAACGUAAUGUAAAAUGUACUGUGAUUGUGCUUGGCAUGUGAUAGUCAGGCUCAUAACAAGUGCCUCCAAAGAUAAGUGUAUGGGUGCCACAUUUGUGAUUCUUUUAAAGGAGAGAGAGAUUUGAUAGUCUUUUUCUGGUAUCCCAUCAAAUCUCUCCAAGGGCAGCCACUGUAUUCCUUCUUGUACAUUUAGUGGAACCCUCAGGGCUCGAGAGACACAUACACAACAGUGGCCAGUGAACUACAGAUUUAUAUGGGCUAAGACUUCCACUUCCAUUUGGAAAACAAUGAAAUAAAACAAAGAUCUUGAAGAAGUUUUAUAUAACUUCUAGGAAAAAAGCCACAGGUUUCAACUUUAAAACAUUUUGCCGCCUAUGCUAAUUUGUGUUUUGGUUACACUGUAUCUUAUUUAAGGGUGAUUGUGGUCUUUUUUCUUUCUUGAUACCUUUUUUCAGGGAUCAACGUACUUUUCCCAUAAAAAGCCAGAUAGUAAAUAUUUUGGGCUUUGCAGGCUCUGCCAUCUGCCUCAAUUAUUCAAGUCUACUGUUAGAGCAAGAAAGCAGCCAUAGACAAUACAUAAACAAUGAGGGCAGCUGUGUUCUCGUAAGACUAAAAACAGGUGCUGGGUUUGGCCCAGACCAUCGUUUGCAGACCCCUGCCUUAUUUGAAUAAUACUUUCAUUCACUGAGAUUAAAAGUAUUCCUGAAAACAUUGCCAUUUGGCUUUCCAUUUUGUUUCUUAAUUGCAUUUACAGAGAAACCAUUAGAGUUUUAAACCAGAAAUAUGCAGCUCUUGAAACUCUAGAAAAUAUUUCAAAAAUGUUUGUCUUUUUAGGUUCCAUGUAGCAGUAAACUCAUUUUUAGAACAGCACAAACCUGAAGUCCUAGAAAUUCAUGUCUCUAUGACACCAGCCAUGCUUGCUAUACAGACUGCCAUACUGGACAUCUUAAAUGCAUGUUUGAAGGAACUGAAGUGCUGUAACUUGUCACUUGACGUUGAAUAUUUAUCUUUAGAAAACACUAUUGGAAAAUCCUUUGACAAGAUAUUCUGUUUCUUUUCCCUUUUAAGCAUAGCUUGUCCUGUUAAAACCGUAGAGAAUGCAAGUUAAUUUAGUAUUGCCAUGUUCUUAAUAGGAAUUUGCUGUUAUUUUAAAAUUAAAUUGGAAGUGAUUUAAAGUAUAGCUUCUUUGGUUUAGUGGAAAGUAAUUUAUAGUGACAUACAUGGAUUGGCAUAUCCGCAUGACUCUAAUUUUUGCAGUUAUACAGUGAUUAUCUCUCAUUUUAAGUAUAAUGAAGAAAAAGAUAAGUACCUUUUUGCUCUGAAGCAACCUUUGGAUAUCUUCAGUUAGAAGAGUUUUACAUAAGUGCAUUUGUAAUUUAUGAUCUCUUGUUUCGAGUAAAAAUAAUUUGGAUGAGUUUUCACUAUUGAGGAAUGUGAAACUUGCUCUGUCCUAAAAUUACAUUCCGAACUGAGAAAAUGGUAAGACUUUAGUUCAAGGAAUUUUUAUUCUGAUUUUUUUCAUCAUAGAUUAAUAUUAAUACAGACACAUAAAUGUCUAAGAUUGAAUUAUAGAUCCUGAAAAUGCUGACUUUUUAAAAAUUCCAGGCAACUUACUUUAGAUAUUUUGGUAGAACAAGUUCCUGCCUUUUUAAACUCUGAAUCGACCCUUUGUGGCUGGAAGAGGAAAAAUGUAACUCCUCAUUUCUCUGAUUCAUCCAAAAAUUAUUUUAUUGUGGAAUAAUGAUACAUAAGACUAAUUUCAUGUGUUUUGUUCCUCUACUCUUAAAGCUUAGGGCAUAGUGAAACCAAAAAAACCUCCACAUCUUCACAUUCUUUUAAUAGACUGUAUAUUCCUAGAAAAACAAAAUGUAGCCUAGUAUGUUUUGCACUAAAUUUCUGUUUAUCAUCCCCUGGCUAGUAAAAAUCAAAGUUACUUUUAGUAACCAAAUCUACAUACAACUUGGGUCUUGUUAGAAAAUUUAAUUUUUGUAGAUGAUUUUAUAAAACAAGCAUGCAAAUAUAUGUCCCAGUAUAUCUAAGACAGCCUUGGUAUCUGCCUAUUGUCCUGGAGUAAUCAUUAGUAGUAGCAUUUCAUUUUCACAAGAGUUGUGUUUUGAGCAAUAAAUCUUCUAAGUAUUAUUCCUGCUCAGUAUUAAAUUUGUUAGAUAAGAUGCCAUGUAGUGAUACUGCUUCCCUAUCAUGUUGUGUAUCAUCUUUUUAAAUUACAGAAUCAGUUUACGAAGGACAGGAAGUGUGUGUGUGUGUGUGUGUGUGUGUGUGUUUGUACACCCACAUAACCCACAUAGUAUAUACAAAAAGCUGUUCUGUGUUUUAGGCAACUUUUUAGGAUCUUAAAAGUUAUUCAAACUUAGCCCACUGUUAAUUUAACAAAUAUCUUCCCAUCUAUGAAGCACAGUGGUAAAAAAAUUAACAAAUAUUUUAUGCCACCAAAUUAAGAUACAUUGUUGUUUAAUUUGAUACAUUGUUGUUUAAUUUGAUGCCACAUUGUUUCCCUGGUUUAUGCCUUCAGCUUCAUCAUCUCUCUGACUGGAUCCCACAUCUUUAUCUAUCCAGGAUAAGAUCUCAGCCCACCUUGGCAGAAAUUGAGUGUUUCUGAGCUACCUGCUUUGACUUUUCAUAAAAACAAACAAUUGAUUAUCUGAUUCUUAUCAGGUCUUUUCUCUCCUGACCAAUAAAGUAAAUGUAGAUAAUUAUGAAUUGACUAUCUGAUCAUAAAGACUUUAGUGAUAAGAUACUCUGUUUCAUUUUUGAAAAAUUAAACAUAUUAUUAGAAUCUUAGGAACUGAAAUUUUCUGUCCACCUCCUUGGGAGAUAAUGUUUUGGAUUUUUUGUAUGUGUGUGACAAAAUAUACGUGAACAUAAAAUUUACUAUUUUAACCAUUUUUCGGUACACAGGGAUAAUGUUUUUUGAGACUAUAGUGUUAAUAAUAGCUAUGUAGAACAUAUUUUUAGCAAUAUUAAAUUUUACCCUUAUUUUAGACAAUCCACCAUUAUCUGGAUCCUUUGUGGCACCAGCUUGGAGCCAAGACUAAAUCCUUGGUUCAGGAUUUGAAGAUACUACGAACUUUGCUGCAGUAUCUUUCUCAGUAUGAUUGUAUCACAUUUCUUAAACUUCUGGAAUCUCUGAGAGCAGCAGAAAAGGCUUUUGGUCAGAAUUCAGGUUGACUGUUUCUGGACUCCUGCACCUCGAUGUUUCUAAAUGAUCGAGCAAGGGUUUAUCAUGUUCCAGAUGCCAAAAUGAGCAGGAAAGGAAAAAUGUCUGAAAAAAUGGAGUUUAAAGAAGGGCAGGGUAUGUCAUAGGCUUAAGUCUUUAAAUGUGUCUUUUAUUUCAGUGAUUGGUUGGAAGUAGUUAACAAGUUAAUGUGUGAUUUUAAGUCUCCUUCAGCCAUCAGAAAAUGUAUGCCGGUAUGAUAAAUGUAUGUUGUAUGUAAUUCUGUUAAAAGUAUUAACAUGACAAGUCUUAGAAUCUGUUGCUGGGGAUUCUGGAUAACAAAGGCCAAGUAUCAAUCAAGAACAUUCUUACUUCUACUUAAGAACUAGAUUGAUUUUUUGUAACUUUAGAGUAAUAAUUGCCACUUCUGUCACUUAAAGUCUUAAUGGAAUAUUUUAACAUCCCUCUGGGCUUUUAAAAGACAUAAAUAUACUAGAAUGAGACAAAUACGGAUUUUAUUCCGACACUCAUCUAGUAGAUAAAAUGAAUAUUGUUUUUUUAAGGUAUGGGAGAGGGCAAAUGCUUACUUUCUGCUUAGUUCAAAGGUCUAGUUCAAAAGUUAAAUAUUUUAGGGAUGUGUUUGAGUACUUUACUAACAGAAAUACAAGUUUGUUGUCUACUUCUAUUGCAUGUUCAGGGUUGUGAAAAUCAUGAUGAUUAUAGAAAUAAUCAAUGCUAUUAUUCUGUUCUCUUUCCUUUAUCUGUAUAGCAGCUUAUACAUAGUGUCACAGUUGACAGUUAACAUAGAAUAAUCUAGUAUUAGUAACCAUGCAUAUAACUUUCUAUUGAGACAUUAUAAAGCUUGUAUUAAUGUUUGUUUGAAGCAUCUUUCCUUUAGACCAUAACUAGACAAUUUUCAGGAAAAUAGAUUGUCUAGCAUUAUGAAGGCCCCACAAAGGAAAGGGAUAAGAGAAUGAUGCUUGAGUUAUCUCUUGGACAGAGGAAACUUGACCCUGCCCUCCCAACUCCCUGCCUGCCUGUGCCUCACCUGAAAGCUGCCUGUGUCCUUGGAUCCCCACCCUCUGGAUAUAAAAUAGUUUGCCUCUAAACUUUUGUAGUUAAUUCUUGUAUUAAAUUCCUUUGACAUCUAAUGUGAGUUUUGUGUUCCUGGCUGCACCCUGACUAAUAUAAACACCUUUGCAAAAAAGCACAUCAAGGUUGACAUCACUAAAGGUGUGCCUAUGUUUCACUGUUUGAAUGUUCCAUGAAUGUUCUAACAUUUAUUUAAUCAUUUGGCUAUUGAUGAACAUUUAACUUCUUUCCAAGUUUUUUGCUACCACAAUUUGUGCUGUAAUGAAUAUAUCUGUAUAUAUAUGUAUUUCUAUAGGACAGAGUAAAAUUGCUAGGAGUAAUAUUGCUAGGUCAAAAAACGGGGUAUAUAUUUAAAAAAUUUAAGUUUAAUUGCCAAAUUGCCCCCAAAAUGUGUCACAAUCUAUACUUUCAACAACUCUGUGCCUUAAGAGUGCCUAUUUCCCUACCCACUGGGCAACUCUUUGUCAAUAACAUAGUGAAAAAUGUUUUCUUGCUUUCAUUUGCAUCACUUUACAUUCUGAAUGAGAUUAACUAUCCUCUCAUAUACCUACUGGCCACUUGCAUUUCUCUUGCUGUGAACUGCCUUGUAACUGGUUUUAUUUUUUGCUUUAUAUCAUGACCUUUAUCUAGAACAAUAAUAAAAAGCAACAUCGAUCAGGACUGCACCAUAA